rnacentral:lncRNA from 1 species
GGCAUGAUGUGGGGAGGCCUGGCCGGGCCUGCUUCCCGGCUGCCAUGAGCUGACCUGCUUCCUCCCGGGCCCCUCUGCCAGGUGCUGAGCCUCACCUCAGGCCCGAGUUGUGCAGUUGACCGAGCGAGCACCAAAGUCUCUGGAACCCGGAGCCAGCACAGAGCGCUUCCUCCUUUCAGUUGUCGGGUGUUUGAGUCACAGCAGUGGACACCCGGUUGCUCUGGGUCACACCGUGAGGCGGAGGCCAGGGGAGACCUCUAGGUGGGGAGCCUGUGUCCAGCCCUCCCAUGGCCGCCAGGGCCCCAGGGGCAGAGCCCGUGGUGUUUUCCUCUCCGUCACCCAUUAAUAAUGGGAUUAAAGCAAGUUCCUGCCAAGGAGAGAGACUGGCUCUUAAGAAACAGCUCAAGCACAUUGUAAGAGUGAAAACCGUCGGCCAUCAGCACUUUUUACCUAGACCUGAAUUCAUGAAUGUUAACCAAAUAAUCACAGGCACGGAGCUCUAAUGCCUGCGAUUAUGCACAACCACCAUUAUGGCUGUAAUGACAAUUAGAUUCCGGUUCGGCGGUGGCUUCCAGGAGGGAGGAGUCCUCUGGUUUCCAGCGCUGUGACCUCGGAUUGCCGUUGCCAUGGCAGCGGGGCUGCGUGGGAAUCUGUGGACAGGAGACUGGUCUUGUGGGGAGGUGCAGGACAAAGGUCCCUCCUCAGCCCCGAGCCUUAGUCAGAGCAAGAGGCUGGGGUGGCAGAAAUGGCCAGUGCCCAGGGGCCCCUGCUGACUUCAUCCCUUACCAGGCAAUGGGCUGGCCCUGUGGGACACAGUGCUGUCACCUUUCAGUAAAUAUUAGUUGAGCACCUGCUAGGUACGGGGGAUAGAGCAGUGGCAGGUCCCUGGGCGUGCUGAGCCCACAGCUCAGGGGGGACAGAUAAGAAAGCAGACAGACAUAGGAGCCUGGUCAUCUCUGCCUGCAAAGGGCCAAGAAGGCACGGAAGCUGAAGUGACCGGGAGUGCCUGGAAGGGGUCCUUCUGCCCGCGUGGCCAGGGGAGGCCUAGCUGGGGAGGCCCGCAGGACAGCAAGAAGAGAAUCCCGCAAAGGCAGUGGUGACCCUUUCAGAGAAGACAGAGGGGUAGGCAGAGGAGACACGGGACACAGCUAAAAUCGAAUUUCUGAUAAAUCACCCAUAAUUCCUAGUGUGAGCCUGUGUCACGCAUCACCGAGACAGGCUGACCCUAACAGGUCGUUUGUUGCCAUCUGAAAUUCACAGGUACCUGGCCUCCUGGAUUCGUCUUUGCUACAUUCAGCCAGCCCGACAGAGAGCAGAGCUGCCGCCCACUCACCCCACGCCCUGCGCUGUCCUCCUGGAGGGUGGCUCACAGGUCCCCAGCCUGUUUCCCCUAAAAGCCCUGGGACUGCGUGAGGUCUGCAGGGCCCUGGGGCACUGGUCCUCACCCACCGUCCAGUGACUUCACUUCUCCUGCCUGCUUCUUCAUCCCCACCCUCCUGCACCACCCUUCAAGGCCUCGACCCGGCUUACUGUCCAGAGAAACUUCUGUGCACCUUCCGCUUGGUCCCAGCCUGUGCAGACGCUCGGCACUUCACUGUCUGAAAAUUAGCCAUGCAUAUUUAAAAUUUUUAAUUAAUUAAUUUAUGGUACUUGGGAUUUAACCCAGGGGGACUUUAGCCACUGAACUAUGUUUCCAGUUCUUUUGUUUUUAUUUCGAGACAGGGUCUUGCUAGGUUGCUGAAAACCUCCUAAGUUGCUGAGACUGAUCUUGAACUUGCAACCCUCCUGCCUCAGCUUCCUGAAUUGCUGGGGUUACAGAUGAGC